AAGAUCAACAACUUUUUAAUUUUGAGAAAGAAAUAAGAAAUAGUUCGGAUCGACUAUAAUUAGUUUGUGUUCGACAACUUGGAUUAUAAUGGGGUAUGUUGUGAUAUAAUCCAAGUGUGAUCCAAUCCAAGAUAGUUAGAUUUAUAGUUUGUUACUUAGUAGUAAAGUCACUUAUUUAUAUAUAAAUAGAUAUUUUGUAAUUCAAUUUUUAAAAUUCAAUAAUAACAAUCAUUAUUUUUCAUUCUCUC
rnacentral:lncRNA from 1 species